rnacentral:rRNA from 1 species
UACGUAGGCAGCAAGCGUUGUUCGGAGUUACUGGGCGUAAAGAGUGUGUAGGCGGUUCUCUAAGUUCGGUGUGAAAUCUCCCGGCUCAACUGGGAGGGUGCGCCGAAGACUGGAGGGCUUGAGUAUGGGAGAGGAAAGCGGAAUUCCUGGUGUAGCGGUGAAAUGCGUAGAUAUCAGGAGGAACACCUGCGGUGUAGACGGCUUUCUGGACCAUAACUGACGCUGAGACACGAAAGCGUGGGUAGCAAAC